UUCUUUUGAUUCUACAGAAGGAGUUUGCCAAGAUGAUUUUUAUUAUAUAUUUCCUCUAAAAAGACAUUUCCCCGGUCUUCACCUGGCUUCUGUUACAGGCAGCAGUGUACUUUGAUGGCCAAGUGGCUGAGAAGUACUACAUCUGUGACAAACAUUUCUGGUUGCUGCAGGAAUUCUGUCCAGUGACUUCCAUAACAGGGGUGCUAAAGGCCAACUUCUGCUCUUUUGAAGAUUAAGAGGUCUGAAUCAAAUCUGACCCAUCACACAAGACUCCUAAGAAUUCUGUUGUCACUAAAAGAUAUGAUGUGUAGAAGACUCCCAUGUGGAUCUGGCAAACUUGCUUCUAGGCUGUGAGCCAGCUAUCCUUGAGCGCUGGAGAAGUCCAGAAGUCCCAGUUCAAAUGAGAGUGUCUCUGAUGCAUUAUAUGGUAUGCAUGGCAUCCUCUACAAUCAGAAUGGGAUGGUUCCUUCACAGAGAUAUUUUCUCCGGAGUUCUCUCUCCAGGACAUGCAAUGUUUUAACAAAGAACAGGACGACCAUCUUUGUCUCUCUCCUGGAACAUGAUCAAACAGCCUUUCCAGAAACAAAUGGACAAAGAUUUGGGGCUUCAGAUGAGGAGAUUUUCUUUCUUCCAAGCCCUUGGAUCUCCUUUGCAGAUCCAUUGCUAUAUAAAUGAUGAAUAUAAAUCUGAAUAAAAAUAUCACCCAGCUG